GAUGAACGCUGGCGGCGUGCCUAAUACAUGCAAGUAGAACGCUGAAGGAGGAGCUUGCUCUUCUGGAUGAGUUGCGAACGGGUGAGUAACGCGUAGGUAACCUGCCUGGUAGCGGGGGAUAACUAUUGGAAACGAUAGCUAAUACCGCAUGACAACAGUUAUUGCAUGAUAACUGUUUAAAAGGGGCAACUGCUCCACUACCAGAUGGACCUGCGUUGUAUUAGCUAGUGGGUGAGGUAACGGCUCACCAAGGCGACGAUACAUAGCCGACCUGAGAGGGUGAUCGGCCACACUGGGACUGAGACACGGCCCAGACUCCUACGGGAGGCAGCAGUAGGGAAUCUUCGGCAAUGGACGGAAGUCUGACCGAGCAACGCCGCGUGAGUGAAGAAGGGUUUCGGAUCGUAAAGCUCUGUUGUAAGAGAAGAACGAGUGUGAGAGUGGAAAGUUCACACUGUGACGGUAGCUUACCAGAAAGGGACGGCUAACUACGUG
rnacentral:rRNA from 1 species